GAAAGUAAAAGUCGUAACAAGGUCUCCGUUGGUGAACCAGCGGAGGGAUCAUUACUGGAAUCGCAAGAUCCCACAACCCCUGUGAACCUACCGAAACGUUGCCUCGGCGGGCGCCCGGCCCUGCGCCGGGCGCUGAGCCCGCCGGCGGCCCCCUACUCUUGUCUCUGCAGCGUGGCAUCUCAGAGUCCCAGAAAACAAGUAAAAACUUUCAACAACGGAUCUCUUGGCUCUA
rnacentral:misc_RNA from 1 species